CAGGGAUUGCCUCAGUAACGGCGAGUGAAGCGGCAACAGCUCAAAUUUGAAAUCUGCCCCCCCGGGCCGAGUUGUAAUUUGCAGAGGAUGCUUUUGGCGAGGUGCCUUCCGAGUUUCCUGGAACGGGACGCCAUAGAGGGUGAGAGCCCCGUCUGGUCGGACACCGAGCCUCUGUAAAGCUCCUUCGACGAGUCGAGUAGUUUGGGAAUGCUGCUCUAAAUGGGAGGUAUAUGUCUUCUAAAGCUAAAUACCGGCCAGAGACCGAUAGCGCACAAGUAGAGUGAUCGAAAGAUGAAAAGCACUUUGAAAAGAGAGUUAAAUAGCACGUGAAAUUGUUGAAAGGGAAGCGUUUAUGACCAGACUUGGCCCGGUUGAUCAUCCAGCGUUCUCGCUGGUGCACUCUGCCGGUCCAGGCCAGCAUCAGUUCGCUCCGGGGGACAAAGGUUUCGGGAAUGUGGCUCCCUCCGGGGAGUGUUAUAGCCCGUUGCGUAAUACCCUGGGGUGGACUGAGGUCCGCGCAUUGCAAGGAUGCUGGCGUAAUGGUCAUCAACGACCCGUCUUGAAACACGGACCAAGGAGUCGUCUUCGUAUGCGAGUGUUCGGGUGCAAAACCCCUACGCGUAAUGAAAGUGAACGCAGGUGAGAGCUUCGGCGCAUCAUCGACCGAUCCUGAUGUUCUCGGAUGGAUUUGAGUAAGAGCAUACGGGGCCGGACCCGAAAGAAGGUGAACUAUGCCUGUAUAGGGUGAAGCCAGAGGAAACUCUGGUGGAGGCUCGCAGCGGUUCUGACGUGCAAAUCGAUCGUCAAAUAUGGGCAUGGGGGCGAAAGACUAAUCGAACGUCAGUA
rnacentral:rRNA from 1 species